CGGGGUAUGGCGCAGUUUGGUAGCGCGCUUGACUGGGGGUCAAGAGGCCAUGGGUUCAAGUCCCGUUACUCCGA
rnacentral:tRNA from 1 species